GGUGGGCAGCUGAUGAAUCUCAUAUUUUUUAAUGGGUAAUUUGCGUCUGAAACUUUCAUUGAUGCUAUAUCACCUUGGAGAACUGAUGCCCACA